AAGGGAGCUUGCUCCCGGAUGUUAGCGGCGGACGGGUGAGUAACACGUGGGUAACCUGCCUGUAAGACUGGGAUAACUCCGGGAAACCGGAGCUAAUACCGGAUAGUUCCUUGAACCGCAUGGUUCAAGGAUGAAAGACGGUUUCGGCUGUCACUUACAGAUGGACCCGCGGCGCAUUAGCUAGUUGGUGGGGUAAUGGCUCACCAAGGCGACGAUGCGUAGCCGACCUGAGAGGGUGAUCGGCCACACUGGGACUGAGACACGGCCCAGACUCCUACGGGAGGCAGCAGUAGGGAAUCUUCCGCAAUGGACGAAAGUCUGACGGAGCAACGCCGCGUGAGUGAUGAAGGUUUUCGGAUCGUAAAGCUCUGUUGUUAGGGAAGAACAAGUGCGAGAGUAACUGCUCGCACCUUGACGGUACCUAACCAGAAAGCCACGGCUAACUACGUGCCAGCAGCCGCGGUAAUACGUAGGUGGCAAGCGUUGUCCGGAAUUAUUGGGCGUAAAGGGCUCGCAGGCGGUUUCUUAAGUCUGAUGUGAAAGCCCCCGGCUCAACCGGGGAGGGUCAUUGGAAACUGGGAAACUUGAGUGCAGAAGAGGAGAGUGGAAUUCCACGUGUAGCGGUGAAAUGCGUAGAGAUGUGGAGGAACACCAGUGGCGAAGGCGACUCUCUGGUCUGUAACUGACGCUGAGGAGCGAAAGCGUGGGGAGCGAACAGGAUUAGAUACCCUGGUAGUCCACGCCGUAAACGAUGAGUGCUAAGUGUUAGGGGGUUUCCGCCCCUUAGUGCUGCAGCUAACGCAUUAAGCACUCCGCCUGGGGAGUAC
rnacentral:rRNA from 1 species